AUACGGAGGGUGCAAGCGUUGUUCGGAAUCACUGGGCGUAAAGGGCGCGCAGGCGGUUUGGUAAGUCAGAUGUGAAAGCCCACGGCUCAACCGUGGAAGUGCAUUUGAAACUGCCAGACUUUAGUACCAGAGGGGAAAGUGGAAUUCCCGGUGUAGAGGUGAAAUUCGUAGAUAGCGGGAGGAAUACCGGUGGCGAAGGCGACUUUCUGGCUGGAUACUGACGCUGAGGCGCGAAAGCGUGGGGAGCAAACAGGAUUAGAAACCCUAGUAGUCC
rnacentral:rRNA from 1 species